UGCGUAACAGCUCACUAGUCAAGAGACCCUGCGCGGAAAAUGUAACGGGGCUAAAGCAUAGUACCGAAGAUAUGGAUUGUCACAUUAGUGGCAGUGGUAGAGGAGCGUUGUUGUCUGCAGUGAAGUUGAACUGUAAGGUUUGGUGGAGCGGCAACAAGUGAGAAUGCUGGAAUAAGUAACUUCAAGACAGGUGAGAAUCCUGUCCGCCGAAAGAGCGAGGUUUCCUGGGCCAUGGUAAUCAUCCCAGGGUUAGUCGGGCCUAAGCCGAGGCGCGUAGCGUAGGCGAUGGACAACGGGUUAAUAUUCCCGUACCGGUUUUUUGUUGCUAAUUGGUGCGCAGAAUGGUAGCCAGAGCAGUUUGAUGGUAUAACUGUCUAAGCGUCUAGUUCGGCUUAUGCCGAGUGAAGCGCGAAUGAAAGUACCGAUUUAUCGGUACGAUUCUGGUGAGCCAAGCUGACUAGAAAAGCCAUUUAGUGUAAAAAAUAACCGACCGUACCGUAAACCGACACAGGUGCUCAGGUCGAGUAGACCAAGGUGUACGAGAGAACCCUUCUUAAGGAACUCGGCAAUACAGCGACCGUAACUUAGGGAUAAGGUCUGCCUCGCCACAAUGCCAUUAUUAUUUGGAUAAUCUGCUUUUAGCUAUCAGCUGAAUAGACAGAAAAGCAAACCGGAUACCAAAUUAAUGAUGCUAUUGUGGCGAGGCCGCAGCUAAAGAGCCCAUGCAACUGUUUACUAAAAACAUAGGUCUCUGCUAACACGAAAGUGGAUGUAUAGGGGCUGACGCCUGCCCGGUGCUGGAAGGUUAAGGAGAGAGCUUCACGGCUUGAACUGAAGCCCCAGUGAACGGCGGCCCUAACUAUAAGGGUCCUAAGGUAGCGAAAUUCCUUGUCAGGUAAGUUCUGACCCGCACGAAUGGCGUAAUGAUAUGGGUACUGUCUCGAGAAGGGACUCGGUGAAAGUGCAUUGACGGUAAAGAUGCCGUCUGUCCGCAUCAGGACGAAAAGACCCCGUGGAGCUUUACUGCAGUUUGACAUUGGACCGGGCUGCUAUAUGUGUAGCAUAGGUGGGAGGCUGUGAAGCUCUGGCGCUAGCCAGAGUGGAGCCAUCGGUGAAAUACCACCCUUAUAGUAGUCUUGUUCUUACCCAGGCCGUUAUCCGGUUUGGGGACAGUGUCUGAUGGGUAGUUUAACUGGGGCGGUUGCCUCCUAAAGAGUAACGGAGGCGUUCAAAGGUUCUCUCAGGACCAAUAGAAAUGGUCUGUCGAGUGCAAGUGCAGAAGGGUGCUUAACUGCGAGACCUACAAGU
rnacentral:rRNA from 1 species